GCCUCUUGCCCCUAUGACUUCUCUAUCUCUUCACCCUGUGCCUGCCUCAGUCACCAGUUACUCAGACCAACCUCGUCCUCUUCCUGCCUCGUGUCCAGACCGUCUCCCUCCUCUUACCAGCUUCACCCCUUCCCACCUCCCUGCCUGGGUCAACUCCACCCUUGCCUGUCCUCCUGCUCCUCCGACCACCUGCCUGCCCCCUCUCCCUCUCCCUUCCAUUCGCCGCCCCUUCCGACUUGCUCCGCUCUUCUCCCACGCCCCUCCCUUUUCCCCUGCCCCCUCUCCUCACUCUGCUUCUUCCCCUACCUGCAUGGGCCUUGGGCCCAGAUAGGCCUCCCCUGCUCCUGCGAGGACAUCUGCCCCAACCAGCCCUCACCAGGCCCAAUGAUUCCCACACUCCAUCAUGGAGGCCUUGUGUCCCCAUUCCAGAACUCCCGGGCAUGCAGUACCCAGCAUCCUGGUGACCUGCAGACAUGGGGGACACUGGAUGACAACCAGCAGGCAUACGACCUGGAGGGGCACCUCCCUCAGAAUUAAGAACCGUCUACAGAAAGCAACACACGAGACCAUUUUCAAACUGAUUUUAAUCAUUUUUUGCUGCUCAAAUACUGUACAUGCAGAAGCCAUGUGAAGAAUUUUCUCGUCAAGGGAAUUGGCAAGAACGUAGGAAACAGCCGGCAGUGCUUCUCAGCUGUCCACCUGCCACCCAGGAGCAACAAUGUUUGGAAAGAUGCUGCACAUAGAAAAUGUAUAGAGCACAGAUAUAAAAGGCUAAUUGCUUCUCAUCUAAACAGUGUGCUUGUCAGUCCCUAUCAGCUAUCUCUUUCUUUGCAGGAUGUAUUUGGAAAUUCUAAAAAAGGGGUUCCUGCCUCCUGUGAAUUUGCAUUCUAAAGGAGUGGAUA